rnacentral:rRNA from 1 species
GACGAACGCUGGCGGCGUGCCUAACACAUGCAAGUCGAGCGGAGUCGAUCGACGGAAGCCUUCGGGCGGAAGAUGGUUGACUUAGCGGCGGAUGGGUGAGUAACGCGUGGGCAACCUGCCUCGAAGACCGGGAUAACAGCCCGAAAGGGCUGCUAAUACCGGAUGUGGUCAAAGAUCCGCAUGGAUUUUUGAUUAAAGGGGAAACCCGUUUCGAGAUGGGCCCGCGUCCUAUCAGCUAGUUGGUGAGGUAAAAGCUCACCAAGGCGACGACGGGUAGCCGGCCUGAGAGGGUGACCGGCCACACUGGAACUGAGACACGGUCCAGACUCCUACGGGGGGCAGCAGUGGGGAAUCUUCCACAAUGGGCGAAAGCCUGAUGGAGCGACGCCGCGUGAGCGAAGAAGGCCUUCGGGUUGUAAAGCUCUGUCUGGAGGGACGAAGGAAGUGACGGUACCUCCGGAGGAAGCCACGGCUAACUACGUGCCAACAGCCGCGGUAAUAGUACUCUAU